GAAAUGCGAUAAUUAAUGUGAAUUGCAGAAUUCAGUGAAUCAUCGAGUCUUUGAACACACAUUGCGCCCCCUGGUAUUCCGGGGGGCAUGCCUGUCCGAGUGUCAUUGCUGCCCUCAAGCACGGCUUGUGUGUUGGGCUUCCGUCCCUGGCAACGGGGACGGGCCCAAAAGGCAGUGGCGGCACCAUGUCUGGUCCUCGAGCGUAUGGGGCUUUGUCACCCGCUCCCGUAGGUCCAGCUGGCAGCUAGCCUCGCAACCAAUCUUUUUAACCAGGUUGACCUCGGAUCAGGUAGGGAUACCAGCUGAACUUAAGC
rnacentral:misc_RNA from 1 species